rnacentral:rRNA from 1 species
AUUGAACGCUGGCGGCAGGCUUAACAUAUGCAAGUUGAGCGGGGUGAUGGUGCUUGCACUAUCACUUAGCGGCGGACGGGUGAGUAAUGCUUAGGAAUCUGCCUAUUAGUGGGGGACAACAUCUCGAAAGGGAUGCUAAUACCGCAUACGUCCUACGGGAGAAAGCAGGGGAUCACUUGUGACCUUGCGCUAAUAGAUGAGCCUAAGUCGGAUUAGCUAGUUGGAGGGGUAAAGGCCUACCAAGGCGACGAUCUGUAGCGGGUCUACCAGGAUGACCAGAACCACUGGGCCGUUUACACGGCCCAGACUCCUACGGGAGGCAGCAGUGGGGAAUAUUGGACAAUGGGGGGAACCUGAUCCAGCCAUGCCGCGUGUGUGAAGAAGGCCUUAGGGUUGUAAAGCACUUUAAGCGAGGAGGAGGCUCUUUUGGUUAAUGCCCAAGAUGAGUGGACGUUACUCGCAGAAUAAGCACCGGCUAACUCUGUGCCAGCAGCCGCGUAA